UACGUAGGGUGCGAGCGUUGUCCGGAAUUACUGGGCGUAAAGAGCUCGUAGGUGGUUUGUCGCGUUGUCCGUGAAAACUCACAGCUCAACUGUGGGCGUGCGGGCGAUACGGGGCAGACUGGAGUACUGCAGGGGGAGACUGGAAUUCCUGGUGUAGCGGUGGAAUGCGCAGAUAUCAGGAGGAACACCGGUGGCGAAGGCGGG
rnacentral:rRNA from 1 species